GCGCGCAAGGUGCUGGUGGCCGCACGCCUCCCUGCCACGGAGGAAGCGAGGGUUCAACUCCCUCUGCGCGCU
rnacentral:tRNA from 1 species